rnacentral:rRNA from 1 species
GAUGAACGCUGGCGGCGUGCCUAAUACAUGCAAGUCGAACGGACAGACGAUGAGCUUGCGCCUCUGACGUUAGCGGCUGACGGGUGAGUAACACGUGGAUAACCUACCUAUAAUACUGGGAUAACUUCGGGAAACCGGAUCUAAUACCGGAGCAUAUAUUGAACCGCAGGGAGCAAUAGUGAAAGACGGUUUUGCCGUCUCUUAUAGAUGGAUCCGCGCCGCAUUAGCUAGUUGGUAAGGUAACGGCUUACCAAGGCAACGAUGCGUAGCCGACCUGAGAGGGUGAUCGGCCACACUGGAACUGAGACACGGUCCAGACUCCUACGGGAGGCAGCAGUCGGGAAUAUUCGGCAAUGGGCGAAAGCCUGACGCAGCAAGGCCGCGUGAGUGAUGAAGGCCUUCGGAUCGUAAAACCCUGUUAUUGGGGAAGAACAACUGUGUAAGUAAACAUGGCCGUAUUGACGGUACCUAAUCAAAAAGCACCGGCUAACUACGUG